AAAAAAUGACAGGUCAUUAUCUAAUACACUAGGACACAAGACGCAGGGAAAUCUACCAAGGUAACACAACAAACAAGGCAAUGAACAGUCCAAAUUUUCAACAGUCCUUAGCUCCUGAAGGAUUUACAUCUGACAACGCAUUAUCUUUGGGAGGACAUGGCGUAGGUGAAGCUUCUCUCAUUUUCAUGUCGCUUGAUUGUUGGUGCUGCUGUUCCCUCUGUUGUUGUUGCUGCUGCUGUUGCAACAUUUGUUGUUGAAGCUGCUGAAAUUGAUGCUGCUUCUGAGGAUGAAUUUGGAGUUGUUGAAACUGCUGUGCAGCUAAAAGGGUGUGCAUGGCAUGAUUAUUGGGAUAGAAUUGCUGCCCCCCUCCAAAAGAGGCAAAGUUCAGCAUAGGUCCUCCUCCAUUAGGUGGCAUAGCUUGUCCAGUCAGUAUUUUCAAAUGCUGAAUUUCCUCUUUUAAUGCGUCAUUUAGUGCUACAAGAAAAAGAUUCAAUUAAUUUUCUUGAUGUUAGAGAUAAACAAAAUAAAGAUUCCGUAUGCUCAAACUUACAGAUCAAAUUUCACGCAAGACAGUGAGUUUUUAAUCAUCAUACAGGGAACCACAAAUCCAACAACAAAAUUUAGAUACCAGCUAUAGACUAAAAUGCAAUUUCAUCCAAGACUACUAAUCCAUCGCCAACUAAGAUAUUACAUACAAAGAUCAUAUUGUUUAAUAUAGUUUACCAAAAUAUUUUCAAAGAUAGGUAUAGAAAAAAGCAAUGGAAGCAGCAGAUAUUUACAUACAAAGAUCAUCUUGUUUAAUAUAGUUCAGUAUUAGCUUUAGAGAAAUUUAAAAUUUUAUGAUCUUACCAUCUUGCAAGUGAACUUGUUGCUCCAUGGUUUGUAACCGCAGCUUCAGUUCACUGUUCUCAGAAUUCAAGCCAUUUGUAUCCCUCUGCAUAUAAUCAACAAUGAUGUGUAAAUUAUAAUCCUCCCAUUAGCUUUUCAAUUGGAAUGUGAAAUGGUAAUACAGUACUAAAACACGGUUUUGUCUAAAUAUAACAGGCAGAAAAGUCAUUACCUGCAAGAGACUUAAUUGUGCAGACAAAGAUGUUGCUUCCGUUUGCAACGUUUGUACCUUCCUUUCAAGCUCAGCAAUGUGCAGGAGAUACAAGUGAUAAUACAAAAUAGGUCCAGCAUCCGGGCGUUGCCAUAAAGACAACCGCAAAUGUCAAUUUACAACUAAAGGAAUAUGAGCAGACUCCGCAUAUCCUCUAAGGGUGUUUGAUGUGGCCCACUAGGCAGAGGGUCGAAAGGGCCAAAAACGUGACAUUUUAAACAGAGGAGUCAUAAUGCAAUUUUAGAAAGUAGCGUACUGUGGCAGUACUUCCAAAACAUGGUCUACUGUAUUGCAGAUUAGAGAUACAACCAACAGAAUGUUAGCAUUUUCCUUUUAAUAGACUGAAACAAACUGACACCUUUAAGCCUUCCUAUCACUAUUUCCUCUGAUACAUUGAGUUUAAU
rnacentral:sRNA from 1 species